UACAGAGGGUGCAAGCGUUGUUCGGAAUUAUUGGGCGUAAAGCGCGUGUAGGCGGCUUAGCAAGUCGGGCGUGAAAGCCCUCGGCUCAACCGAGGAAGUGCACCCGAAACUGCUGAGCUUGGGUGCCGGAGAGGAUGGCGGAAUUCCCCAAGUAGAGGUGAAAUUCGUAGAUAUGGGGAGGAACACCGGUGGCGAAGGCGGCCAUCUGGACGGUAACUGACGCUGAGACGCGAAAGCGUGGGUAGCAAACAGG
rnacentral:rRNA from 1 species